rnacentral:lncRNA from 10 species
AUCUCCGACUUGUGUCAAGAAAUGGGAAGUUCUGGGCCCAGAUCCCCAUAAGUCAGCGAUGAGGGGGGCCGAGCAGGGGCUGCCCGUUAGACGGCCGCAGAGUCCCAGCCCCCAGCCCUGCUCACCUUUCUUACCUCUCUGGCCCCGUCGGCAUUUGAGCCUGGGACCCCAGACGAAAGGAUACGCUUCCUUUUAGAACCCCUGCCAAUCUGAGGACGGGGCCACCCCACAGACGCCGUGGCUCAGCAAGCAGACCAAUGGCCGAGGAGUCUGGCAAGGGGCGCUUGAUGAGAGUGGAGGUUGUAAAUCACCCUCCAUGCAAUGGUUCAUCAUAAAGGAUAUGGAGCAAAAUUAGAGGAGGCACGAGAAGGAAAGCCGGUGAUGAACAAGGAAAGUGCCUGGUUGAAGCUAGCUUGCAAUCCCAAAGUCAGAAGGUUGCCUGGGAAGCCAUGAAACAAAGCCAAAUCAAGGCAAAGCAGACACAUGGAGAUUUUGAGACUGAGAAGAGGAAAACUGAGGACAUUCAUGUGAGAUGGUUUCAAGUUUCCCUUA